rnacentral:rRNA from 1 species
UACGUAGGGUGCGAGCGUUGUUCGGAAUUACUGGGCGUAAAGCGCGCGCAGGCGGUCUUCCAAGUCAGUGGUGAAAGCCCGGAGCUCAACUCCGGAACUGCCAUUGAAACUGUAAGACUUGAGGAUGAGAGAGGUGAGUGGAAUUCCCAGUGUAGAGGUGAAAUUCGUAGAUAUUGGGAAGAACACCGGUGGCGAAGGCGGCUCACUGGCUCAUAUCUGACGCUCAGGCGCGACAGCGUGGGGAUCAAACAGG